ACGGAAGGCAGCAGUGGGGAAUAUUGGGCAAUGGGCGCAAGCCUGACCCAGCAACGCCGCGUGAAGGAAGAAGGUUUUCGGAUUGUAAACUUCUGUCCUUGGUGACGAAGGAAGUGACGGUAGCCAAGGAGGAAGCCCCGGCUAACUACGUGCCAGCAGCCGCGGUAAUACGUAGGGGGCAAGCGUUGUCCGGAAUGACUGGGCGUAAAGGGCGUGUAGGCGGCUUUUUAAGUCUGAUGUGAAAGUCCUGCUUUCAAGGUGGGAAUUGCUUUUGAUACUGAUGGGCUUGAGUGCAGGAGAGGUUAGUGGAAUUCCCAGUGUAGCGGUGAAAUGCGUAAAGAUUGGGAGGAACACCAGUGGCGAAGGCGACUAACUGGACUGUAACUGACGCUGAGGCGCGAAAGUGUGGGGAGCAAACAGGAUUAGAUACCCUGGUA
rnacentral:rRNA from 1 species